rnacentral:rRNA from 1 species
GAUGAACGCUGGCGGCGUGCCUAAUACAUGCAAGUAGAACGCUGAAGGAGGAGCUUGCUCUUCUGGAUGAGUUGCGAACGGGUGAGUAACGCGUAGGUAACCUGCCUGGUAGCGGGGGAUAACUAUUGGAAACGAUAGCUAAUACCGCAUGACAACAGUUAUUGCAUGAUAACUGUUUAAAAGGGGCAACUGCUCCACUACCAGAUGGACCUGCGUUGUAUUAGCUAGUUGGUGAGGUAACGGCUCACCAAGGCGACGAUACAUAGCCGACCUGAGAGGGUGGUCCGCCACACUGGGACCGAGGCACGGCCCAGGCUUCUACGGGAGGCAGCAGUAGGGAAUCUUCGGCAAUGGACGGAAGUCUGACCGAGCAACGCCGCGUGAGUGAAGAAGGUUUUCGGAUCGUAAAGCUCUGUUGUAAGAGAAGAACGAGUGUGAGAGUGGAAAGUUCACACUGUGACGGUAUCUUACCAGAAAGGGACGGCUAACUACGUG